CUAUAGAAGCGCGUCCGGCUUGGCGCGUAACGUUAAAGGAGGUCGUAAGUGAGCGUGCGCGAGCGCUCGCGCACGCUCGCCCUCGAGCAACGCGAGAUUAGCCGAAGCGCGUCGAGAGCAAAUACGGCACGUCGAUCUUGAAGGUUGCAGUAGUCGGUGCGCGCUAAUGCGCGCGACUACAUCCGCGUGUCGUGGUGUUACGCGCGCGCAGGUGCGGGCGGCCCGAUCGCUGCCAUUCUUUUUUCAAUUUCCAAGCUCUAACUAUGAGUUCUCGGCGGCCUUGCGAGAUGUCUCAAUUUUCUUCACUUGGCCACCAGAUGAAAUCCAGCUAAAUGUUCGAUGGCUAAUGAACGACAAUAUACACUCAUACGUAUCUACUACGUGAUCUUCGCUUACCGUCAACAAAGACCAAUGACUUAACGAGAUGGAAGAGGUGGAGGACUACGAUCACGAUGACGACGACGACGACGACGACGACUUUAGAAUCGAGCGAUAGAAGGUGCUCUCUCGAGGUCGCUGUCCACCCUGAGGUCACCCUCCUAUACCCACCGACCGAACAAUAUCCGAUGGGAACCCUUUAAGAAGGAGAGGAGGAAUGGAGAAACAGAAAAAGAAAAAGAAAAAGAAAAAGAAACAGAAAGAUACGUGUCAUCCAAAGGAGUAAAAGCGAGAAAGAAAGAUAGCUGAGGGACAAUGCGAGACUUUGUUCAGAGGCACGCAGAACACCCGUGCAGCACGUACUGAGUUUCUGAUAGAGGGGAGGAAGACGUCGACAUCGACGUCGACGACGACACAACGGCGACGCUAAGACGACGAAGACGACGAAGACGACGACGUCGACGAUGAAGGCGACGACGGAGACGUCGUCUGGAGUCUCGGUGAACCCGUGCAACGAAUCGAUUUUACGAGAGUCUUUUUUUCCAGAGGGUGAAGAAGGAAGAGGAUGGUUAAAACGAAAUGGAUGGGCUCGUUCUCUCUCUCUCUCUCUCUCUUUCUUUUGCAUUUGAUUCCACUGUGAUUUCUUUCAAUUCGGUUAACAUCUUUGGAUAAGUCCGUGAAAAAUCAGGAAAACAAACUGCCUGGAUGGAUGAAUCGAAUGCCUUUAUGUGGUUUUGUUUUUUUCUCUGUUUUUUUUUUUUAAUAUCAAGGAUUAAUAUCAAGGAUUUAUUGUAUAUUGUGACCGCCAUGUUGUUAGAAUUACGUUAUGUGAUUAUUCCUAUAAUUAAGGAAACAAUACAUAUUUUAAGAUAAAUAUUAUCGCAAUAGAUAAUCUUAACAGAAAUAAAAGCUUAUUUCUACGAA